GACGAACGCUGGCGGCGUGCCUAAUACAUGCAAGUAGAACGCAGUUGCGAACGGGUGAGUAACGCGUAGGUAACUGCCUCAUAGCGGGGGAUAACUAUUGGAAACGAUAGCUAAUACCGCAUACUGUGAGAUGGACCUGCGUUGUAUUAGCUAGUGGGUGGGGUAAAGGCUCACCAAGGCGACGCUACAUAGCCGACCUGAGAGGGUGACCAGCCACACGGGAACUGAGACACGGUCCAGAAUCCUACGGGAGGCAGCAGUGGGGACUAUUGCACAAUGGGCGCAAGCCUGAUGCAGCCAUGCCGCGUGUAUGAAGAAGGCCGUCGGGUUGUAAAGUACUUGCAGCGAGGAGGCGUUACUCGCAGAGGAAGCACCGGCUAACUCCGUGCCAGCAGCCGCGGUAAUAC
rnacentral:rRNA from 1 species